UACGUAGGGUGCAAGCGUUAAUCGGAAUUACUGGGCGUAAAGCGUGCGCAGGCGGUUUUGUAAGACCGAUGUGAAAUCCCCGGGCUUAACCUGGGAACUGCAUUGGUGACUGCAAGGCUAGAGUGUGUCAGAGGGGGGUGGAAUUCCACGUGUAGCAGUGAAAUGCGUAGAUAUGCGGAGGAACACCGAUGGCGAAGGCAAUCCCCUGGGCCUGCACUGACGCUCAUGCACGAAAGCGUGGGGAGCAAACAGG
rnacentral:rRNA from 1 species